rnacentral:rRNA from 1 species
CGCAGCAGGCGCGAAAACUGUACAAUGCUGGAAAUAGCGAUAAGGGGACCUCGAGUGCCAGGAUACAAUCUUGGCUGUCGUGAUGCCUAAAAAGCAUUGCAUAGCAAGGGCCGGGCAAGACCGGUGCCAGCCGCCGCGGUAACACCGGCGGCUCGAGUGGUAACCGCUAUUAUUGGGUCUAAAGGGUCUGUAGCCGGCCGGAUAAGUCUUUUGGGAAAUCCAGCUGCUCAACAGUUGGGCUUUCAGAAGAUACUGUUCGGCUCGAGGCCGGGAGAGGUGAGAGGUACUUCAGGGGUAGGGGUGAAAUCUUGUAAUCCUUGAAGGACCACCAGUGGCGAAGGCGUCUCGCCAGAGCGGACCUGACGGCAAGGGACGAAAGCUAGGGGCACGAACCGGAUUAGAUACCCGGGUAGUCCUAGCCGUAAACGAUACUCGCUAGGUGUCGGCCACGGUGCGACCGUGGUCGGUGCCGUAGGGAAGCCGUGAAGCGAGCCACCUGGGAAGUACGGCCGCAAGGCUGAAACUUAAAGGAAUUGGCGGGGGA